rnacentral:rRNA from 1 species
AUUGAACGCUGGCGGCAUGCCUUACACAUGCAAGUCGAACGGUAACGCGGGGCAACCUGGCGACGAGUGGCGAACGGGUGAGUAAUGCAUCGGAACGUACCCAGUUGUGGGGGAUAGCUCGGCGAAAGCCGGAUUAAUACCGCAUACGACCUACGGGUGAAAGCGGGGGAUCGCAAGACCUCGCGCAGUUGGAGCGGCCGAUGUCAGAUUAGGUUGUUGGUGGGGGAAAGGCUCACCAAGCCGACGAUCUGUAGCUGGUCUGAGAGGACGACCAGCCACACUGGACUGAGACACGGCCCAGACUCCUACGGGGGGCAGCAGUGGGGAAUUUUGGACAAUGGGGGCAACCCUGAUCCAGCCAUGCCGCGUGCGGGAAGAAGGCCUUCGGGUUGUAAACCGCUUUUGUCGGGGAAGAAAUCUUCCGGGCUAAUACCCCGGGAGGAUGACGGUACCCGAAGAAUAAGCACCGGCUAACUACGUGCCAGCCGCCGCCGUAA